UACGGGGGGGGCAAGCGUUGUCCGGAAUUACUGGGCGUAAAGGGCUCGUAGGCGGCCAACUAAGUCAGACGUGAAAUCCCUCGGCUUAACCGGGGAACUGCGUCUGAUACUGGAUGGCUUGAAUCCGGGAGAGGGAUGCGGAAUUCCAGGUGUAGCGGUGAAAUGCGCAGAUAUCAGGAGGAACACCGGUGGCGAAGGCGGGUCUCUGGGCCGAUACUGACGCUGAGGAGCGAAAGCGUGGGGAGCAAACAGG
rnacentral:rRNA from 1 species